UUGGAGGGCAAGUCUGGUGCCAGCAGCCGCGGUAAUUCCAGCUCCAAUAGCGUAUAUUAAAGUUGUUGCAGUUAAAAAGCUCGUAGUUGAAUUUCGGGAUCAAAUAAUCGGUCGUGCCUCCGGUACGUACUGGUUUUAUUGGUUCCUCCCUUCUGACGAACCAUGAUGUCAUUAAUUUGAUGUGGUGGAGAAUCAGGACUGUUACCUUGAAAAAAUUAGAGUGUUUAAAGCAGGCUAACGCUUGAAUACAUUAGCAUGGAAUAGUGAAAUAGGACGUUCGACCCUAUUUUGUUGGUUUCUAGGAUCGACGUAAUGAUUAAUAGGGAUAGUUGGGGGCAUUAGUAUUCAAUUGUCAGAGGUGAAAUUCUUGGAUUUAUUGAAGACUAACUACUGCGAAAGCAUUUGCCAAGGAUGUUUUCAUUAAUCAGGAACGAAAGUUAGGGGAUCGAAGACGACCAGAUACCGUCGUAGUCUUAACCAUAAACUAUGCCGACUAGGGAUCGGAUGAUGUUAAUUUUUUAAUGACUCAUUCGGCGCCUUACGGGAAAC
rnacentral:rRNA from 1 species